AAGCGUACACGGUGGAUGCCUAGGCAGUCAGAGGCGAAGAAGGACGUGCUAAUCUGCGAAAAGCGUCGGUGAGCUGAUAUGAAGCGAGAUGAGCCGGCGAUGUCCGAAUGGGGAAACCCAGUGCAAUGAGUUGCACUAUCAUUAACUGAAUUCAUAGGUUAAUGAGGCGAACCGGGGGAACUGAAACAUCUCAGUACCCCGAGGAAAAGAAAUCAACCGAGAUUCCCCCAGUAGCGGCGAGCGAACGGGGAGGAGCCCAGAGUGUGCAUCAGCGUUGUUAUCAGUGGAAGCGUCUGGAAAGUCGCGCCAUAGUGGGUGAAAGUCCCGUACACGAAGAUGGCGGCGUUGUGAGCUCGAUGAGUAGGGCGGGACACGAGUUAUCCUGUCUGAAGAAGGGGGGACCAUCCUCCAAGGCUAAAUACUCCUGACUGACCGAUAGUGAACCAGUACCGUGAGGGAAAGGCGAAAAGAACCCCGGCGAGGGGAGUGAAAGAGAGCCUGAAACCGUGUACGUACAAGCAGUGGGAGCCGUGAGUAAUCAGGGUGACUGCGUACCUUUUGUAUAAUGGGUCAGCGACUUAUAUUCUGUAGCAAGGUUAACCGGAUAGGGGAGCCGCAGGGAAACCGAGUCUUAACUGGGCGAAGAAGUUGCAGGGUAUAGACCCGAAACCCGGUGAGCUAGCCAUGGGCAGGUUGAAGGUUGGGUAACACUAACUGGAGGACCGAACCAGGAU
rnacentral:rRNA from 1 species